rnacentral:rRNA from 1 species
UGGGGGAUAUUGCACAAUGGGCGAAAGCCUGAUGCAGCGACGCCGCGUGAGGGAUGAAGGCCUUCGGGUUGUAAACUUCUUUUGCUCUGAACAAGGCGCACCAUGGGGUGUGUUGAGUGUAGGGGUUGAUUAGCGCCGGCUAACUACGUGCCAGCAGCCGCGGUAAUACGUAGGGCGCGAGCGUUGUCCGGAAUUAUUGGGCGUAAAGGGCUUGUAGGUGGCUGGUUGCGUCUGUCGUGAAAGCUCAUGGCUUAACUGUGGGUUUGCGGUGGGUACGGGCUGGCUUGAGUGCAGUAGGGGAGGCUGGAAUUCCUGGUGUAGCGGUGGAAUGCGCAGAUAUCAGGAGGAAUACCGGUGGCGAAGGCGGGUCUCUGGGCUGUUACUGACACUGAGGAGCGAAAGCAUGGGGAGCGAACAGG